AGACAACCAAACUCCAUCAAUCAAGAGGAACUUAAUCCAGGGAGGGUUCUUCUGCUCACUGGGUCAGAAGCAUCCGAUUUCCUGUCAUCGGUUGCGGUUCAGCCAUGUUAAUACUGAAAGUAUAAGAAUAUCAUAAUCCCAGAGUGAUAUAAAGACCUUUCCAAGGAAGAUGAGAUACCCGGAGGCUGUGAAGGAGAAGUCUGAAGGAUUUGAACGCGUUCAAAUGAAAACCUUUGGUUCAGCAAAACACCAGAAACAAAUUCAAAAGAUAAAAUACACUCCGGAGAAGCCCAUUCUCUCAACGCAUCUGACAGUUCACAAAGAGCAACUGCAGUCCAACUUAAAAAAUAAAGAAAAUGGUAGGAAAAUGGGCAACAUGCACUGAGGCAAUAUAUAAGAAGAAGGAAUGCGCAAUUAAUCAACAAAAGCCUGCUCUUUCCUAACGAGUGAAGAUACAAGCUUAGUAAAUAUUAAAAUUUAUUGAAGAUAAAAAUGGACACUUCCGGCCAUAUAUAAAAGCAUUGUUGGUAAGAGAGUGGGGUAAUUGACAUGCUCCUGGGAAAUAAUACGCAUUCAGACAACCUCUAAUGAGUGAAUCCACUGGGGGUAUCCACUAGGAAUAGAAAACGACCACCAAUGCCCAAGUUUGUGGUCCAGAAUUUGAGCAGCGAUCUAACAAAGUAGAGUCUCCCCCUGUGUCAUGGGCCCCACUUCUUAAGCAAAGAAGAAUGCCUCAUUUUGGUAACUCACCCAAAUAAACAGAAAUUUUUUUUGAUAAUCUUAUCGCAUUUAUUUGGUUAAGUCUGAGGCAGAAUAUUUUUCUCCUUUGUAUCUUUGUUUUGUUUUGUUUUAAUCCUUGAAGUUUAUUACCAAACUACAUCUUGGUGUUUCUUCAGGAUGUGAACAGGCCUUUCUAUUCUCAAUUAAGUGUUUCUUUCCUUUAAUUCAGGAAUCUUCUAAUCAUGUAUUUUAAUUUCUUUUUCUGUCAUCCCUCCCCACGCCAUAAGCUACCAGUCACUAUACAUGUUGGAGCUCUCUUUAUUGUGCCAUAGAUCUCUGAUGUCAUGUCUUUAGUCAUUAUUUUGUGUCAGAAAUUUUUGUUCUUCCGGGGACAUCUGGCAAUAUCUAGAGACAUGCUACUGGCACCUAUAGAAAUGCUAGUGACUUAUUAUGGGUAGAGGCUAAAGAUGCUGCUAAAUAUCCUACAAUGCCCAGGACAGCCACUGCCACAACAAAGAAUUAUGCAGUCCACAAUGUCCAUAGUGCUAAGGAGAAGAAACCCUGUCCUAGGGUCAAGGUUGGAUGCUGACAAGACUAAUUUCAAGUGAUUUCAAACGAUUGUGGGGAAAAUACCCAGAAGUUGACAGGAGCAAUAUGUAGAUAUUUCCUUCUGUAAAUUAUAUUUCCCUAAUGCUAAUGCUGGAGCAUUUGGAAACACGUGUAUAAAUAUUUGAAGCACAAAACCAGAGAGAUGCUCUUAUGUAUUUAGCUUCUAGUUUUAAAUAAUAGAUACUACAAUAAACCUUGAUUAAACCUUGAUUAUCUGA
ensembl:lncRNA LINC00919 long intergenic non-protein coding RNA 919